rnacentral:rRNA from 1 species
CGUAUUCUGGCUCAGGAUGAACGCUAGCGGCAGGCUUAACACAUGCAAGUCGAGGGGCAUCGGGAGUAGCAAUACUUGCCGGCGACCGGCGCAAGGGUGCGUAACGCGUGAGCAACAUGCCCGUAUCAGGGGGAUAAUCCAUGGAAACGUGGUCUAAUACCCCAUAGUAAUUAUGUAAGGCAUCUUAUAUAAUUUAAAGCUUUGGUGGAUACGGAUUGGCUCGCGUGACAUUAGCUAGAUGGUAAGGUAACGGCUUACCAUGGCUACGAUGUCUAGGGGUUCUGAGAGGAAGGUCCCCCACACUGGAACUGAGACACGGUCCAGACUCCUACGGGAGGCAGCAGUGAGGAAUAUUGGACAAUGGAUGGAAAUCUGAUCCAGCCAUGCCGCGUGCAAGGAAGACGGCCCUAUGGGUUGUAAACUGCUUUUGUAUGGGAGCAAUAAGGGCUACGCGUAGUCCGAUGAGAGUACCAUACGAAUAAGCACCGGCUAACUCCGUGCCAGCCGCCGC